GCAGUCGCCGCGGGAAUACGUAGGGGGCAAGCGUUAUCCGGAUUUACUGGGUGUAAAGGGAGCGCAGGCGGUGCGGCAAGUCUGAUGUGAAAGCCCGAGGCUCAACCCCGGGACUGCAUUGGAAACUGUCGUACUUGAGUAUCGGAGAGGUAAGUGGAAUUCCUAGUGUAGCGGUGAAAUGCGUAGAUAUUAGGAGGAACACCAGUGGCGAAGGCGGCUUACUGGACGAUAACUGACGCUGAGGCUCGAAAGCGUGGGGAGCAAACAGGAUUAGAUACCCCAGUAGUCCCUGUCUCUUAUAC
rnacentral:rRNA from 1 species